UACGAAGGGGGCUAGCGUUGUUCGGAUUUACUGGGCGUAAAGCGCACGUAGGCGGAUCGUUAAGUCAGGGGUGAAAUCCUGGAGCUCAACUCCAGAACUGCCUUUGAUACUGGCGAUCUUGAGUCCGGAAGAGGUGAGUGGAACUCCUAGUGUAGAGGUGGAAUUCGUAGAUAUUAGGAAGAACACCAGUGGCGAAGGCGGCUCACUGGUCCGGUACUGACGCUGAGGUGCGAAAGCCGGGGGAGCGAACGGG
rnacentral:rRNA from 1 species